rnacentral:lncRNA from 1 species
AUAGUGCGAUCAAAAAUAUAAUGUCUUUUACAUGCAAAUGAUGGAAAACAUGACUCCUAUUCUCAUGUUUAUUUAUUCUUUGAUCAUAUUUUUUUCUCGAUUUCUUGUUAUAAUCGGUAGAAGUAUGUUAUUUUUCACACCGUUUUUAAAAUUCUCCAACUUUUCUUAGAUUCGAUAUUUUAUCACCUGUAAGUAACUAUUUAUUUUUCUUGUUUGACAACAUGUAGGUGACGUUCCUUGCGAUUUCGAUCGUGAUUGUCCAAAGGUGUUAUAUCAUUUUUCAAGGUGUGUUGAUAAAUUUUGUGAUUAUCGGCGAACUGGUUAAUUAAGGUAAAAAUAACUAGGUUACCCUAAGUGUAUUAUUGCUUUUCUAUGUCAUAAUAUUUGUAAUUUAAAAUAUGAUUUAUGUUUCUAUAACUUACCAAUUUUUAUGAAAGUUCAAAAGUGUAAUAUUAUAAUAUGCAUGUAUGUUCAUUGUUUUUUGGUCGUGGAAGAUAUAGCCAAAAAAAAGAAACACCACUCCAAAAUUACAAUAAGCUACUUUAAUAAAUAAAUAUAAUAUAAUGAAGUUGAUUAAUUAUUUAUAUUUCUUAAAA